AUAUAUAUAUGUAACAACUUUAAAGAAGCUCAACUGUGCUAUAAUACACCUUAGUUGAUAUUAAAAUAUGCAACUUACGUGACUUUACCCAUGCUGAAGACACUAAAGCUAAGGUACAAACUGGGAUUAGAGACCCCACUAUGCUUAGCCAUAAACUGAGGUAAUUGAAUAACAAAAUUACUCGCCAGAGAACUACUAGCCACUGCUUAAAACUCAAAGGACUUGGUGGUGCCCUAGACCCUCCUAGAGGAGCCUGUUCUAUAAUCGAUAAACCCUGAUACACCUCAUCCCUUCUCGCUUAUCAGUCUAUAUACCACCAUCAUCAUUUCACCCCAACAGGGUUCCAAAGUGAGCAAAAUCAUGAAACCAUAAAAAUGUUAGGUCAAGGUGUAGUAUAUGAAGGGGGAAGCAAUGGGCUACAUUUUCUAUGUUAGAACACAACGGAUUGUCUAUUGAAACAAAGACAUGAAGGAGGAUUUAGUAGUAAAUUAAGAAUAGAGAGCUUAACUGAAAUAGGCAAUAGGGUGUGUACACACUGCCCAUCACCCUUCUCAAUAAAGUAACUUCAAAUACCUAAUAAGAAUACGCCAAAGAGAGGAGAAAAGUCAUAACAUGGUAAGUGUACUGGAAAGUGCACUUGGACAAUCAAAAUG
rnacentral:ncRNA from 1 species